rnacentral:snRNA from 1 species
GGCCUUGCUGCCACGAUCCAC